UGGGGAAUCUUGCGCAAUGGGCGAAAGCCUGACGCAGCGACGCCGCGUGCGGGAGGACGGCCUUCGGGUCGUAAACCGCUGUUGCCCGGGACGAAAUGGUCUUUCGAGACUCUUGACGGUACCGGGUGAGGAAGCACCGGCUAACUCCGUGCCAGCAGCCGCGGUAAUACGGAGGGUGCGAGCGUUGUCCGGAAUCACUGGGCGUAAAGGGCGCGUAGGCGGCUCUAGGAAGGCGGCGGUGAAAGCCCGGGGCUCAACCCCGGGUCGGCCGUGGCGACUCCUGAGCUCGAGCACAGUAGAGGCGGGUGGAAUUCCGGGUGUAGCGGUGGAAUGCGUAGAGAUCCGGAAGAACACCGGUGGCGAAGGCGGCCCGCUGGGCUGUGGCUGACGCUGAGGCGCGACAGCGUGGGGAGCAAACAGG
rnacentral:rRNA from 1 species